AGCGGCAGCGCGGGGGCAACCCUGGCGGCGAGCGGCGAACGGGUGAGUAAUGCAUCGGAACGUGUCCUCUUGUGGGGGAUAACCAGUCGAAAGAUUGGCUAAUACCGCAUGAGAUCGAGAGAUGAAAGCAGGGGACCGCAAGGCCUUGCGCGAGAGGAGCGGCCGAUGCCGGAUUAGCUAGUUGGUGGGGUAAAAGCCUACCAAGGCGACGAUCCGUAGCUGGUCUGAGAGGACGACCAGCCACACUGGGACUGAGACACGGCCCAGACUCCUACGGGAGGCAGCAGUGGGGAAUUUUGGACAAUGGGGGCAACCCUGAUCCAGCCAUGCCGCGUGUGUGAAGAAGGCCUUCGGGUUGUAAAGCACUUUCGGACGGAACGAAAUCGCGCGAUCUAAUAAGUCGCGUGGAUGACGGUACCGUAAGAAGAAGCACCGGCUAACUAUGUGCCAGCAGCCGCGGUAAUACGUAGGGUGCGAGCGUUA
rnacentral:rRNA from 1 species